rnacentral:tRNA from 1 species
GGCCCGCUAGCUCAACUGGCAGAGCAACUGACUCUUAAUCAGUAGGUUAUAGGUUCGAUUCCUAUGCGGGUCA